GAAAUGCGAUAAGUAAUGUGAAUUGCAGAAGUCAGUGAAUCAUCGAAUCUUUGAACGCACCUUGCGCUCCUUGGUAUUCCUUGGAGCAUGCCUGUUUGAGUAUCAUGAAAUCUUCAAAGUAAAUCUUUUGUUAACUCAAUUGGUUUCUACUUUGUUAUUGGAGGUCUUUGCAGCUUCACACCUGCUCCUCUUUGUUCAUUAGCUGGAUCUCAGUGUUAUGCUUGGUUCCACUCGGCGUGAUAAGUUAUCUAUCGCUGAGGACACUGUAAAAGGUGGCCAAGGUAAAUGCAGAUGAACCGCUUCUAAUAGUCCAUUGACUUGGACAAUACUUUUAUGAUCUGAUCUCAAAUCAGGUAGGACUACCCGCUGAACUUAAGC
rnacentral:misc_RNA from 1 species